rnacentral:rRNA from 1 species
GACGAACGCUGGCGGCGUGCCUAAUACAUGCAAGUCGAACGCUUCUUUCCUCCCGAGUGCUUGCACUCAAUUGGAAAGAGGAGUGGCGGACGGGUGAGUAACACGUGGGUAACCUACCCAUCAGAGGGGGAUAACACUUGGAAACAGGUGCUAAUACCGCAUAACAGUUUAUGCCGCAUGGCAUAAGAGUGAAAGGCGCUUUCGGGUGUCGCUGAUGGAUGGACCCGCGGUGCAUUAGCUAGUUGGUGGGGUAACGGCUCACCAAGGCCAGGAUGCAUAGCCGACCUGAGAGGCUGCUCGGCCACACUGGGAUUGAGACACGGCCAAGACUCCUACGGGAGGCACCAGUCGGGAAUCUUCGGCAAUGGACGAAAGUCUGACCGAGCAACGCCGCGUGCGUGAAGAAGGUUUUCGGAUCGUAAAACUCUGUUGUUAGAGAAGAACAAGGACGUUAGUAACUGAACGUCCCCUGACGGUAUCUAACCAGAAAGCCACGGCUAACUACGUG